rnacentral:rRNA from 1 species
GGUUAAGCGACUAAGCGUACACGGUGGAUGCCCUGGCAGUCAGAGGCGAUGAAGGACGUGCUAAUCUGCGAAAAGCGUCGGUAAGGUGAUAUGAACCGUUAUAACCGGCGAUGUCCGAAUGGGGAAACCCAGUGCAAUUCGUUGCACUAUCGUUAACUGAAUACAUAGGUUAACGAGGCGAACCGGGGGAACUGAAACAUCUAAGUACCCCGAGGAAAAGAAAUCAACCGAGAUUCCCCCAGUAGCGGCGAGCGAACGGGGAGCAGCCCAGAGUCUGAAUCAGCUUGUGUGUUAGUGGAACGGUCUGGAAAGUCCGACGGUACAGGGUGAUAGUCCCGUACACCAAAAUGCACAGGUUGUGAACUCGAAGAGUAGGGCGGGACACGUGGUAUCCUGUCUGAAUAUGGGGGGACCAUCCUCCAAGGCUAAAUACUCCUGACUGACCGAUAGUGAACCAGUACCGUGAGGGAAAGGCGAAAAGAACCCCGGCGAGGGGAGUGAAAAAGAACCUGAAACCGUGUACGUACAAGCAGUGGGAGCACCUUCGGGUGUGACUGCGUACCUUUUGUAUAAUGGGUCAGCGACUUAUAUUCUGUAGCAAGGUUAACCGUAUAGGGGAGCCGCAGGGAAACCGAGUCUUAACUGGGCGUUAAGUUGCAGGGUAUAGACCCGAAACCCGGUGAUCUAGCCAUGGGCAGGUUGAAGGUUGGGUAACACUAACUGGAGGACCGAACCGACUAAUGUUGAAAAAUUAGCGGAUGACUUGUGGCUGGGGGUGAAAGGCCAAUCAAACCGGGAGAUAGCUGGUUCUCCCCGAAAGCUAUUUAGGUAGCGCCUCGUGAAUUCAUCUUCGGGGGUAGAGCACUGUUUCGGCUAGGGGGUCAUCCCGACUUACCAACCCGAUGCAAACUACGAAUACCGAAGAAUGUUAUCACGGGAGACACACGGCGGGUGCUAACGUCCGUCGUGAAGAGGGAAACAACCCAGACCGCCAGCUAAGGUCCCAAAGUCAUGGUUAAGUGGGAAACGAUGUGGGAAGGCACAGACAGCCAGGAUGUUGGCUUAGAAGCAGCCAUCAUUUAAAGAAAGCGUAAUAGCUCACUGGUCGAGUCGGCCUGCGCGGAAGAUGUAACGGGGCUAAACCAUGCACCGAAGCUGCGGCAGCGACACUAUGUGUUGUUGGGUAGGGGAGCGUUCUGUAAGCCUGCGAAGGUGUGCUGUGAGGCAUGCUGGAGGUAUCAGAAGUGCGAAUGCUGACAUAAGUAACGAUAAAGCGGGUGAAAAGCCCGCUCGCCGGAAGACCAAGGGUUCCUGUCCAACGUUAAUCGGGGCAGGGUGAGUCGACCCCUAAGGCGAGGCCGAAAGGCGUAGUCGAUGGGAAACAGGUUAAUAUUCCUGUACUUGGUGUUACUGCGAAGGGGGGACGGAGAAGGCUAUGUUAGCCGGGCGACGGUUGUCCCGGUUUAAGCAUGUAGGCUGGUUAUCCAGGCAAAUCCGGAUAAUCAAGGCUGAGGUGUGAUGACGAGGCACUACGGUGCUGAAGUAACAAAUGCCCUGCUUCCAGGAAAAGCCUCUAAGCAUCAGGUAACAUCAAAUCGUACCCCAAACCGACACAGGUGGUCAGGUAGAGAAUACCAAGGCGCUUGAGAGAACUCGGGUGAAGGAACUAGGCAAAAUGGUGCCGUAACUUCGGGAGAAGGCACGCUGGUGUGUAGGUGAAGCCCCUGCGGGUGGAGCUGAGACCAGUCGAAGAUACCAGCUGGCUGCAACUGUUUAUUAAAAACACAGCACUGUGCAAACACGAAAGUGGACGUAUACGGUGUGACGCCUGCCCGGUGCCGGAAGGUUAAUUGAUGGGGUUAUCCGUAAGGAGAAGCUCUUGAUCGAAGCCCCGGUAAACGGCGGCCGUAACUAUAACGGUCCUAAGGUAGCGAAAUUCCUUGUCGGGUAAGUUCCGACCUGCACGAAUGGCGUAAUGAUGGCCAGGCUGUCUCCACCCGAGACUCAGUGAAAUUGAACUCGCUGUGAAGAUGCAGUGUACCCGCGGCAAGACGGAAAGACCCCGUGAACCUUUACUAUAGCUUGACACUGAACAUUGAGCCUUGAUGUGUAGGAUAGGUGGGAGGCUUUGAAGCGUGGACGCCAGUCUGCGUGGAGCCAACCUUGAAAUACCACCCUUUAAUGUUUGAUGUUCUAACGUUGGCCCCUUACCGGGGUUGCGGACAGUGUCUGGUGGGUAGUUUGACUGGGGCGGUCUCCUCCUAAAGCGUAACGGAGGAGCACGAAGGUUAGCUAAUCCUGGUCGGACAUCAGGAGGUUAGUGCAAUGGCAUAAGCUAGCUUGACUGCGAGCGUGACGGCGCGAGCAGGUGCGAAAGCAGGUCAUAGUGAUCCGGUGGUUCUGAAUGGAAGGGCCAUCGCUCAACGGAUAAAAGGUACUCCGGGGAUAACAGGCUGAUACCGCCCAAGAGUUCAUAUCGACGGCGGUGUUUGGCACCUCGAUGUCGGCUCAUCACAUCCUGGGGCUGAAGUAGGUCCCAAGGGUAUGGCUGUUCGCCAUUUAAAGUGGUACGCGAGCUGGGUUUAGAACGUCGUGAGACAGUUCGGUCCCUAUCUGCCGUGGGCGCUGGAGAAUUGAGGGGGGCUGCUCCUAGUACGAGAGGACCGGAGUGGACGCAUCACUGGUGUUCGGGUUGUCAUGCCAAUGGCACUGCCCGGUAGCUAAAUGCGGAAGAGAUAAGUGCUGAAAGCAUCUAAGCACGAAACUUGCCCCGAGAUGAGUUCUCCCUGAGACUUUAAGUCUCCUGAAGGAACGUUGAAGACGACGACGUUGAUAGGCCGGGUGUGUAAGCGCAGCGAUGCGUUGAGCUAACCGGUACUAAUGAACCGUGAGGCUUAACCUU